GUGCUCCUUUUAACUAUGGGGAGCUAGAUUGAGGGGAUAGAGGUAGGGUGUGGAUAUUGAUUUUGAAGAUGAAGAAGAUAUUCAUUUUGGAGACAAGCUGGGGAAUCAGCCCACUUAAUGCACAGCCAAAUCUAAACCUGCACGCUGCUGCCAUUGCGCUCUCUAGGCACAUGAAGCCAAGACAAAACUUCCCCAGAUUCAAGGGAAGUGUGCAAGGAAGGUAGUUUUGGAAUGGAAAGAUCCUGGGUGGGGACCUAGCACUCCGGAGGAGCUUGUGAAAUCUGCUUAGUACUUAGUACCCGGGCAACCCCGCUGGAGGGCCAGAACAAAGCAUCCCACACAGCUUGGUGGUGUUUAUUUUGUGGUGGUUCCGAGGCCCCAGAUCUCUAGAGCCCAGGGCCUGAACUUUAAGACCCUCCCUUUCUCCCCACCCACUCUGCAAAACAAGUUCAAGUGACUCUCCGUGGCAACACGUUUCUUUCCAUUAGGGUCUGAUCUCCCCUGUGCUGGCGGGGGUAGUAACAGAAGGUCUGUUCCGCACCUGCGACCUCGGAGUCAAAGUGAAGUGUCCUCUGCUGCCCACCCCUUCUUCACCCCACUAGCAACAGCUGCAGCAGAAAGGCUCUCAGUCCUUUAAAACCAGUCGCAGAUGCAGUUGAAUUGUGUGCCUGUCUUUGAUUUUAGUUUCUUCCAAAGAUCUUGCUUUGGGGUCCUGCCCCUUAGGUCCAAAUGCCACAGACAGUGGCCAGAUGACUAAUGUUCUACCUCAAGGUUGAACCUAGGUACGUCCCCCACUGCCAGCAUCUGGGAGCACGGCUUAUCCGAGAAGGAGAAAUAAACAUCUUAGUUACA